AGGACGAACGCUGGCGGCGUGCUUAACACAUGCAAGUCGAGCGGUAAGGCCCUUUCGGGGGUACACGAGCGGCGAACGGGUGAGUAACACGUGAGUAAUCUGCCCUUCACUUCGGGAUAACCACCGGAAACGGUGGCUAAUACCGGAUAUGACCUGCUACCGCAUGGUGGUGGGUGGAAAGUUCUGGCGGUGAAGGAUGUGCUCGCGGCCUAUCAGCUUGUUGGUGAGGUAAUGGCUCACCAAGGCUUCGACGGGUAGCCGGCCUGAGAGGGUGACCGGCCACACUGGGACUGAGACACGGCCCAGACUCCUACGGGAGGCAGCAGUGGGGAAUAUUGGACAAUGGGCGAAAGCCUGAUCCAGCAACGCCGCGUGAGGGAUGACUGCCUUCGGGUUGUAAACCUCUUUCAGUACCGAGAAGCGAGAGUGACGGUAGUACAGAAGAAGCACCGGCCAACUACGUGCCAGCAGCCGC
rnacentral:rRNA from 1 species